GGUUUUCCGUGCAUUAAGGUCCCUACUGUUGGAAGUGAAGACUUUCACCAGGGUAUACAAUGAAAGGGUAUGGUGAAUUUUAAUCUGCUAUGGCUGCCCGUUAAUUUUAGCUCCUUAUAACAGACAAACGAGGAAAAGAAGACAUGAAGGCAAGUUACUCUCAGGAAUAGAAACUCUUUGAAAUCAAGGGUACCAUGGAUCCGCUAAUGUGCUUCCAUCCAGUAUUCUUCUGUCCACUAUGGCAAGAUGGUACUAGACAAACAGCAAUCACAGUCAGGAAUGACAUUUGGACCAUAAAAAAACCUCCUCAGAGAUAAACACGGAGUCACAGAACAGCCUCGGGGAACAUUGUAGAAGAGGAGACAGAAAGGAGCUGGAAGACCAGGAAAGCUUCUGUGAGAUUAUGACUCUUAGAAAUGACAGAGAAGCUAGGACUACAAAAAUACGGUUGCCUAAGCAAGACUCUUCAAUGCUGAAACAGAAGAAAGAUAUCCCAUGGGGCACUACCCACAGACAAAAGAUUACAGGCAAGGAAAGAAUGCUGAAAACAAGAGAAAUAGUGGUACCCCCCCCCAAGGAUGAGCCCCUCAAUUUGUUGUUAAUAGCAAGUAUUCA
rnacentral:lncRNA from 1 species